UCAAAAAGUAUUUAUUAUGUAUACUCAAGAAUAUUUUUAUGAGUAUUUAUGCCGAAAAUCCUUAGCAAUCUAUUCACGAAAAAUCUAUGAAAUUGAGUGAGUUUAUUUAUUCAUCAAAAAUUACUCAAGUAAUAUUGAAUAUUAAAGUCAUGAUGUAUUAUAGGAUAUACUAUAAGGUACUUGUUGGUCUGUCAAAUGACAGAGGAUUACUCGAAUAAAAUCGUAUUGAAAUUUGGAAUAUAACACUUCUGAAAUAAAUGUCUUACCAGGGACACUACAUGUCGUAGGCGCGAUCUCGUGGCGAGCACCGAACUACUCCCGCUGCUGCUGCUUAUCACCGGUGACUUUCCCCUUCUCCAUAUCGAUCUUUUCUCCCAAAAAAUUUUUUCUCUUAGCUUAAGCAACUUUUGUUAUUUUGGUCGGAGAAUACAAAAAUACUUGCGUAAAAAGAAUAGUACUUGUUCCGAGAAAUUUUAUUCUGUUUAACCAAAAAAAUGCAAUAUUGCUACAAAAAAAUAAUGUAUCUUGCACCAAAAAAAAAAUGGGGCAAGAUACAUUACUGGGUUUGUAAAAAAUCACAUAAAAACUUAUAUUUUCACUCAUCUCCGAACAGUUAAAAUAUUCAAAGUACAAGAAAAAGUGAUAAUAUUAGUAUUUCUGAUGUAAAUUCUUGUAAAAAAAAAUGAAGUUAAGCAAUUAUUUUUAAAUGAAUCUGAUAAAAUUAAUAUUUGAUGUGAAUGGAAAUUAUUUAUAAAAUCUCAUGAGUACUCCAUAAUAUUUUAUAAGUAAUAGCCUUCUAAAUAAAACUUACAAAAACUCAUAAAUCACAUAGCUUUUAAAUUGAAAUUAAAUCUUUCAAGUUUUUACAAGUUAAUUCGAUUAUAGAUUUUCUUACUAAUUCUCAUAAAAUUUUUAUGAGAAAAAGGUCUGCAUUUGUCCAUGUGAUUCCUGAUUCAGUCUCAUAAAAUUUCGAAGAAAUACAUGUUAAAUAUUUUCUCAUAAAAUAUGACAAAUAUUUUAUGAUAUUCAAUAAGAUAUUAUCUCCUAGGAUAACUCUUACUAAAACUUAUAGAUUCUGAAAAUUUCGUAUGAAAAAAUAAUCUUAUUGAGAUUUUGUAAGUAUUAUAACAUCGGAAUUCGCCUGAUCAAUUCUUAUUGAAAAUACAUUAGAAUAAACUGUAAGAAUCUUAUAUAAGUGAAAGUACUUAUUCAAUCUCAUAAUCGUUGGCGGAAUUCGAGUCAUAAAAUCUCAUAAAUUAAAAAAUCUUACUCAUUCUUUUAAAAAUCUAGUACGGAAAUCAUGAUAGAAAAACAUCAAAAGCUUUGACUCAUAGAUUCUCAUAAAAAUUCAUAUGAGAAUUUUUUUAAAUCUCAUAGAUAUUUUCGAAGCUCAUAGAUUCUCAUAAAAAAUAUUCAAUAUCUUAUCAGAAUUUAUGAGAGCUUUUCCACAGGGUACUGCAAACACGACAAAAAAACCAUAAAACCACUAUCAAUCCACGGUGGAUCCACGGUGAAACCACCGUCGUUUUACCGUGGAUUUAUAGUGGAUUUAUAGUUUCACCUUGGAACCACGAUGGAUAAAUGACCGCGAGGGGAUCUAUAUAAAUCUAUGAUUUAGAAGCCACCAUGUUUCAUUGGAUCUCUAAUCAAACUGGCCUGUUACUUGACAGAAACUCGAUAUUAUACUGGCCAGUUUCUGGUUUAAGUCUAGUCGAACUGGACAGUUACUGGACAAAAACUCGAUUUCAUUUCUACAUCUCAGCAUCAAAUUGUCGGAUAAAGAAACGAAAAAACGGAAUUGUAGUUAAAUAAAUUUCCUAAACGAGACCUGAAUUGGUUUUCUUGAAAAAAACAUCUCCCAGCCCCAUAGACUCAAACAACGAAAUGAAAAAAUUUUAAAUUUUUUGUCUUGAUCUAUUUUUUAUGAUUACGCAAUAACCCUAUCUCAAAAAAUUAUAUUUCUGAAAGAUCUUCAAACUAGAGAUAUCAAGAUUCAAAUUGCUUCUUUUAUUUUUUGGAUACGAUCAUUUUUUACGAAAAUUCAGCCUCCAAAAAUCACUAAAAAAUUUGUAAAAUUUUUUUGUUCCUUUAAUUUCUUGAAUAAAUGUAAAUUAUGAAUCUCUUGCUGUUUUGUUUGACUGCUAGAUAAAUUUUGUUAUAAUAAAUUCAACUUUAUAAAUUUGUUCAUUUCUUUAAUUAUUAUUAUUUCUAUUACAAAAAGCCACCUUUGGUGGGUUUAUGAGCUCACAUUUUGUAUGUCUAAAUCAAACUAUACAUCAUAAUCAAUUCUUUCUACAUCUUUACAGUUGUAGAGUCUUUGCUAAAUAGUCAUGUUCCGCCUGAGUUACGCAUGAACCUUGUAACCAAUGACUGUUGCAUGCAUAACC